GGGUUGUUAGCUCAGUUGGUAGAGCAGCGGACUCUUAAUUCGUCGGUCGAGAGUUCGAGCCUCUCACAACCCACCA
rnacentral:tRNA from 1 species